rnacentral:lncRNA from 1 species
GACGAAUCUAAUCAGCGCGGUCCACUGGGCCGCACUGGUAGGCUGCUAAAGUAUCUACUGCAUCUGCCCAUCGUCCUCUGUAAUUCGGCUGCUUUGGUCGGCAUUUACCCGACUACAUGCUCUGUAAGAACGCCAUCGCUUGCCAUUCCUCGCCAUUUGGGCAGCACUGGUUGCGACUGUGUGCAAGUGCUGAUCCAUGUGCCCGCUCCGCCCAGAUACGUUGACCUACAUUCACCCCGAACAUGUCGAAGAUUAGGUCGAGGACACGUGCGAGUGGCCAGAAAAGACACCGAAGCGGUUUUUCAGUGGCUUGCCCGGUUAUCUCUACGUUGAGUGCAGAGGGCGCGCUGCGCGAGCCGUCUUUUCUCGCCCGUCUGCGCUGCUCCUUUAAAGGAUACCCAAGUUUCCGAAGUCUCCUGAAAGGAGGCACCAGGGAGGGGCGAUCGCCGACAUCUUGGAAGGCUAGAUCCCCCUGCAACCAACAACAUCUUC